AACGAACGCUGGCGGCAGGCUUAACACAUGCAAGUCGAGCGCCCCGCAAGGGGAGCGGCAGACGGGUGAGUAACGCGUGGGAAUCUACCCAUCUCUACGGAAUAACGCAUGGAAACGUGUGCUAAUACCGUAUACGUCCUUCGGGAGAAAGAUUUAUCGGAGAUGGAUGAGCCCGCGUUGGAGUAGCUAGUUGGUGGGGUAAAGGACUACCAAGGCGACGAUCCAUAGCUGGUCUGAGAGGAUGAUCAGCCACACUGGGACUGAGACACGGCCCAGACUGCUACGGGAGGCAGCAGUGGGGAAUAUUGGACAAUGGGCGCAAGCCUGAUCCAGCCAUGCCGCGUGAGUGAUGAAGGCCCUAGGGUUGUAAAGCUCUUUCACCGGUGAAGAUAAUGACGGUAACCGGAGAAGAAGCCCCGGCUAACUUCGUGCCAGCCGCCGCCGUAAUAC
rnacentral:rRNA from 1 species